ACGAACGCUGGCGGCGUGCCUAAUACAUGCAAGUCGAACGGUCUUUCUAUGGAAGCUUGCUUCCACUGAGAAGAUAGUGGCGAACGGGUGAGUAACACGUGGGUAACCUGCCCAUAAGAGGGGGAUAACAUCCGGAAACGGGUGCUAAUACCGCAUAGUUUUCUUGAUCGCGUGAUUGAGAAGGAAAGACGGCCUUUGUGCUGUCGCUUAUGGAUGGACCCGCGGCGUAUUAGUUAGUUGGUGAGGUAACGGCUCACCAAGACGAUGAUACGUAGCCGACCUGAGAGGGUGAUCGGCCACAUUGGGACUGAGACACGGCCCAAACUCCUACGGGAGGCAGCAGUAGGGAAUCUUCCGCAAUGGACGAAAGUCUGACGGAGCAACGCCGCGUGAGUGAAGAAGGUUUUCGGAAUCGUAAAACUCUGUUGUCAGAGAAGAACAAGUUGGAGAGUAACUGCUCCAGCCUUGACGGUAUCUGACCAGAAAGCCACGGCUAACUACGUGCCAGCAGCUGC
rnacentral:rRNA from 1 species